AUUGAACGCUGGCGGCAGGCUUAACACAUGCAAGUCGAGCGGGGUGAUGGUGCUUGCACUAUCACUUAGCGGCGGACGGGUGAGUAAUGCUUAGGAAUCUGCCUAUUAGUGGGGGACAAUAUCUCGAAAGGGAUGCUAAUACCGCAUACGUCCUACGGGAGAAAGCAGGGGAUCACUUGUGACCUUGCGCUAAUAGAUGAGCCUAAGUCGGAUUAGCUAGUUGGUGGGGUAAAGGCCUACCAAGGCGACGAUCUGUAGCGGGUCUGAGAGGAUGAUCCGGCACAAUGGGACUGAGACACGGCCCAGACUCCUACGGGAGGCAGCAGUGGGGAAUAUUGGACAAUGGGGGGAACCCUGAUCCAGCCAUGCCGCGUGUGUGAAGAAGGCCUUAUGGUUGUAAAGCACUUUAAGCGAGGAGGAGGCUCUUUUGGUUAAUACCCAAGAUGAGUGGACGUUACUCGCAGAAUAAGCACCGGCUAACUCUGUGCCAGCCGCCGAGUAA
rnacentral:rRNA from 1 species